rnacentral:rRNA from 1 species
UACGUAGGGUGCAAGCGUUAAUCGGAAUUACUGGGCGUAAAGCGUGCGCAGGCGGUCUUGCAAGACAGAUGUGAAAUCCCCAGGCUUAACCUGGGAACUGCAUCCGAUACUGGAUGGCUUGAAUCCGGGAGAGGGAUGCAGAAUUCCAGGUGUAGCGGUGAAAUGCGUAGAUAUCUGGAGGAAUACCGGUGGCGAAGGCGGCAUCCUGGACCGGCAUUGACGCUGAGGAGCGAAAGCUAGGGGAGCAACGGG